UACGUAGGGUGCAAGCGUUGUCCGGAAUUAUUGGGCGUAAAGAGCGUGUAGGCGGCCCGAUUAGUCCGCUGUGAAAGUCCAGGGCUCAACCCUGGAAUGCCGGUGGAUACUGUCGGGCUAGAGUCCGGAAGGGGCGAGUGGAAUUCCUGGUGUAGCGGUGGAAUGCGCAGAUAUCAGGAGGAACACCGAUGGCGAAGGCAGCUCGCUGGGACGGUACUGACGCUGAGGCGCGAAAGCGUGGGGAGCGAACAGG
rnacentral:rRNA from 1 species